UGUAAGUUUGAUCCUGGCUUAUUUUUUGUUUUUUGAUUGUAAUACAUGUAAAAUAAUUUGUAAGAGUUAGUAUAUUAAAAUAAAACUUUAUAGUUCUCAGUGUUAGAUAUUAGGAAAUGAAAUAAAUUUUUAAUUAGUAAAUCAAUUAAAUUCAGGCUAAAUUUGUGCCAGCAGCUGCGGUUAGACUGAUAGUGUAAACAAAAAAUUAUAAGUUAAAUAAUUAAAGGAAAUUAAAUGGGAAAAGUACUGUAAAAAUUAAAGGUGAAAUUUGGUGUUUUAGUGCAGUAAGUUUUUUGUUUAAAAGGUCUUGAGGUUAUAAAAUUUUAGAUCUAAAUCAGGAUUAGAUACCCUGUUAUACUAUCUUUCAAUUUAAGAAUACUUGAGUAGUAAACAGUUAUGUUCUCGAAACUUAAAGGAUUUGGCGGUAUUUUAGUCUAGUUAGAGGAACCUGUUCUAUAAACGAUAAACCACGAAGAAUCUUACUCUUUUUAGUAUGUCAGUUUGUAUACCGUCAUUAUUAGAUAAUCUUUAUAAAGAAUUAUUAAAAUAAAUAUUUUUAAUAUAUUAGAUCAAGGUGCAGCCAAUAAAAGAGAAAGAAAUGGGUUACAAUGUUAUUUGAUAUAUACUGGGAGAAAACUUUAAAGUUUUCUUGAAGGUGGAUUUAAUUGUAAUAGUUUUUUAAUAAGAAAUUAUGAUAAUAGCUCUAAGAUAUGUACACAUCGCCCGUCGCUCUCACUUUUAAUGUGAGAUAAGUCGUAACAUAGUAGGUGUGUUGGAAAAUGCACCUAGAAUUCA
rnacentral:ncRNA from 1 species